rnacentral:misc_RNA from 1 species
CUUGCAGGGAAGGUACACAGAAC